rnacentral:rRNA from 1 species
ACGGGAGGCAGCAGUGAGGAAUAUUGGUCAAUGGGCGAGAGCCUGAACCAGCCAUGUCGCGUGCAGGAAUACGGCCCUACGGGUUUUAAACUGCUUUUGCCUGGGGAUAAAGUGGCGGACGAGUCCGCUAUUGCAGGUACCCGGCGAAUAAGGAUCGGCUAACUCCGUGCCAGCAGCCGCGGUAAUACGGAGGAUCCGAGCGUUAUCCGGAUUUAUUGGGUUUAAAGGGUGCGUAGGCGGCACGCCAAGUCUGCGGUGAAAUGUCAGGGCUCAACCUUGGCACUGCCAUGGAAACUGGCGAGCUAGAGUGCGUUUGGGGUACAUGGAAUGUGUGGUGUAGCGGUGAAAUGCAUAGAUAUCACACAGAACGCCGAUCGCGAAGGCAGUGUACCAAGCCGCAACUGACGCUGAGGCACGAAAGUGCGGGGAUCAAACAGGAUUAGAUACCCUGGUA